UACGUAGGGCGCAAGCGUUAUCCGGAAUUAUUGGGCGUAAAGAGCUCGUAGGCGGUUUGUCGCGUCUGCUGUGAAAACCUAAGGCUCAACCUUGGGCUUGCAGUGGGUACGGGCAGACGUAGAGUGCGGUAGGGUGACUGGAAUUCCUGGUGUAGCGGUGGAAUGCGCAGAUAUCAGGAGGAACACCGAGUGGCGAAGGCAGGUCACUGGGCCGCAACUGA
rnacentral:rRNA from 1 species